rnacentral:rRNA from 1 species
AGGAACAAGGUUUCCGUAGGUGAACCUGCGGAAGGAUCAUUAUCGAGUUUUGAACGGGUUGUAGCUGGCCUCUCACGAGGCAUGUGCACGCCUGGCUCAUCCACUCUUAACCUCUGUGCACUUUAUGUAAGAGAAAAAAAUGGUGGAAGCUUCCAGGAUCUCGCGAGAGGUCUUCGGUUGAACAAGCCGUUUUUCUUUCUUAUGUUUUACUACAAACGCUUCAGUUAUAGAAUGUCAACUGUGUAUAACACAUUUAUAUACAACUUUCAGCAACGGAUCUCUUGGCUCUCGCAUCGAUGAAGAACGCAGCGAAAUGCGAUAAGUAAUGUGAAUUGCAGAAUUCAGUGAAUCAUCGAAUCUUUGAACGCACCUUGCACUCCUUGGUAUUCCGAGGAGUAUGCCUGUUUGAGUCUCAUGGUAUUCUCAACCCCUAAAUUUUUGUAAUGAAGGUUUAGCGGGCUUGGACUUGGAGGUUGUGUCGGCCCUUGUCGGUCGACUCCUCUGAAAUGCAUUAGCGUGAAUCUUACGGAUCGCCUUCAGUGUGAUAAUUAUCUGCGCUGUGGUGUUGAAGUAUUUAUGGUGUUCAUGCUUCGAACCGUCUCCUUGCCGAGACAAUCAUUGACAAUCUGAGCUCAAAUCACUAUACUUACCAAUCUUC